rfam:Helianthus annuus linkage group 15, whole genome shotgun sequence.
AAGGUCUCGUUCGUCGUAAUGGUGUGAUGAAUUCACACCUUGCCGACCAUCCUGUUAUACCACCACCCAUAAACUGA